UUUCAGAGUAUAAGUUAAUAGCUACCAGCCAAUGAGAUGAGCUGCUUGACUCACGUCUUUACUCAUGACUCAAGAGGACACACGCAUGACUUAGAAGUACAAAGAUGAAAAGAUUAUCCUUUUUCUCAAGAAUCUUGCAGGCCAGUGAUGAGGAAAGAGAGUCCUCAAGUAGUUGCUUUUUGUACUUUGAAUAAAGACUUUAGUCAUAGUAGGAGAGAUAGACUGUAAUGGACUUACUUCACGAUGGCUGCACCAGAGGUUCCAAGAACGAUGGCUUUCAACUUCAACCCACAUCUAAAACACACCACUGUAGCCACACCCUACACCCUGUGGUUAUCCAGUUGUGAGUCCUAUUGGAGAGAUGAGAUUUAACUAGAUGACCAUGACCAUGAAGAACUUCUCAAGCUCUUUGGUUCUACAGGUGUAUGACAGUUUCCUGGAGGGGGUCAUAUGGAUCUACUACUACCUUCCCACUGACAUUAGGCAGAUGUUCAUUAGAUUGGUUUGAUAGAUGUAAUGGUUAAUAUUGAGUGUCAACUUGAUUGGAUUGAAGGAUGCAAAGUAUUGU
rnacentral:lncRNA from 1 species